UGCACGUGCGUCUUGAUUUCCUCUUCCACUCCCCCCGCCCUCGCGUGUGCUGCCCUGAGGACGGAGGGGGACGCACCCCUCUCAGUGCGUGGCAUCUCAGGGUCCAGUGCACACCCACUCUGUGCAUUUGUGUGGGGGAGGGGGCCGAGCCGCCCCUCUAUCCCCCGCCGAUGCUGCACCGCUUCUGGUGGCGAGAGGGUCAGGCGCCUACCUACGCAGCGGGGGGUCAGGGCAACGCAUGCCCCCACUGAUGCCGGCAGUGAGGCCGCGGAUGGCGUUGUGUGGGAGAGAUCUUCGACAGUGGACACGUUUGCGCCACCCAUGUGAUGGGCAGGGUGUCAGCGUGACGCCAGCGUACCUCAGCCGCCCCUCGCUGCCCACUGGUGGGGAGCCUGGGCCACCGGGAGGGGGAUGCACCAGGGGUGGCUACGGGCAUAAUAGAAGCGGCUGGGAGGCGGGUGAGUGAGCAGAGUUUGGGGUCAGAGGCCGUGCUAUCAGGUAACUGAGUCGGCGCACUGCUGUACCGCGUGUGUCUAUGGCUGCUUCGCACCAGACGAUGGGGGCCUGUGACAGGGCCGUGUGGAGUAGUGUAUGGCUGACGCGCUGCGACAGAGAACUGGGCACAUUGGGGAGCGAGGCCUCUUGUCGCACGUCGAUGAUGAAAUUUGGGGGCGGGUGCUCCUCUGGUGCAAAUUUUUUAUCUCAGAUUUUGUGAUUUCUGCUUUCUUCUCCGAGGCGGAUGACUCGCUGUUCAACCGAGCAGUGGUGAUUCCCGCCCUUCCCCUCUCUUUCUCUUGCAUCGGAUGCGGAAUUCACACGCACUUCAUUUACGACAGUGAAGAACUUGAAGACGGUCGACUGCGUGGUGUCGCACUACCACCAUAUGCGUGCGCUGCAGUGCGUGUGUGCGUGUCGGCGGGCCGCUGUGAAGGGCGCGGCUUGUCGACAGCUCUCGUUUCAUGGCGGCUCUGCCCUUGCUUUCGUAUUUUCCCUCAGUCUCUCAAGGAGGUGAGAGCCUGCCGGAGCGCUGCAGAAUAAGACGAGGACAAGGCCGGACUCGGCUCUGGUGCCCACAUGUGUGUGUGUGUGUGUGUGUGUGUGUGUGUGUGUCUGCAGCUCUCUUUUUCUUCUCUCACCCCACGUCACCGGCUCUCACCGUGAACGAGGGCUUGGAGUGUGAGCCGUGAGGAGAGAGCGCGCAGUUCGUAACGGGGAGAGGGGUAUGCGCCCGCACGUCGGUGUUGGCUUGCGUGUGAACGCGCGCACCUUAGCUUUUGGGGGGAUUCUUUGAUUUAAGCCGUGAACGCGAUGACGGGUGUGAGGCAU
rnacentral:misc_RNA from 1 species